rnacentral:tRNA from 1 species
GCCGACGUGGUGGAAUUGGUAGACACGCUAUCUUGAGGGGGUAGUGACGAAAGUCGUCCCGGUUCGAGUCCGGGCGUCGGCACCA